GACGAACGCUGGCGGCGUGCUUAACACAUGCAAGUCGAACGGAAAGGCCCUGCUUUUGUGGGGUGCUCGAGUGGCGAACGGGUGAGUAACACGUGAGUAACCUGCCCUUGACUUUGGGAUAACUUCAGGAAACUGGGGCUAAUACCGGAUAGGAGCUCCUGCUGCAUGGUGGGGGUUGGAAAGUUUCGGCGGUUGGGGAUGGACUCGCGGCUUAUCAGCUUGUUGGUGGGGUAGUGGCUUACCAAGGCUUUGACGGGUAGCCGGCCUGAGAGGGUGACCGGCCACAUUGGGACUGAGAUACGGCCCAGACUCCUACGGGAGGAAGCAGUGGGGAAUAUUGCACAAUGGGCGGAAGCCUGAUGCAGCAACGCCGCGUGCGGGGUGACGGCCUUCGGGUUGUAAACCGCUUUCGCCUGUGACGAAGCGUGAGUGACGGUAAUGGGUAAAGAAGCACCGGCUAACUACGUG
rnacentral:rRNA from 1 species